CAGGAUUAGUUUUUAAGUUGUACAGAGGUUUGCUGUGGGAGAAGAAGAGGAAGAAGAAGGAAGAAAAACUGACCAGUUGGGGUUACUUUCCACACCUGAAAUGGCGAGAUAUGAGAUGGAAGUGAAGCGUCCUUUGAUCGGGUAAGUGGCUGCGGAAAAGAUGUUAGUGAUGAGAAUG